GUGGGGAAUCUUGCGCAAUGGGCGAAAGCCUGACGCAGCAACGCCGCGUGCGGGAUGAAGGCCUUCGGGUUGUAAACCGCUUUCAGCAGGGACGAAAAUGACGGUACCUGCAGAAGAAGCUCCGGCUAACUACGUGCCAGCAGCCGCGGUAAUACGUAGGGAGCAAGCGUUGUCCGGAUUUAUUGGGCGUAAAGAGCUCGUAGGCGGUUUCGUAAGUCGAGUGUGAAAAAUCUGGGCUUAACCCAGUGGAGCACUCGAUACUGCGAUGACUUGAGUCUGGUAGAGGAGUGUGGAAUUCCUGGUGUAGCGGUGAAAUGCGCAGAUAUCAGGAGGAACACCAACGGCGAAGGCAGCACUCUGGGCCAGUACUGACGCCGAGGAGCGAAAGCGUGGGGAGCAAACAGGAUUAGAAACCCUUGUAGUCC
rnacentral:rRNA from 1 species